rnacentral:misc_RNA from 1 species
GUGUCCACGACUAUCUAAAACCUGUUCAGCGUAAAAGCAACAAUGGAUUAUUGCAGAUUAGAAUCUAAAAGGUAGAGAAUAACAAACAAUGCGAAAUUUAAUUGACAAUAACAUGGUGUGCUUUGGUGCCAGUUAACCAACCAGUUUAAAUACAAUACAUACUCUUAAAACACAUAAAAUUCGGUGCCAACAUAUUAGCAAUAUAAAACAUGUUGCCGGAAAAGAAGCUUGCACAUUCACAAUCACCUAAUACUUCCACAUGAAUUCCUUAUCAUUUUGCAAUUUACAACAGGUUGUAUAAAUUUUGAUAAAAUUGUUCCACAUUUUGCUUAAAUUAUUCUUAGUAAUCACCCAAAUAGCAUUGAUAUCACUGCAAUGGUGGCUAACUGAACAAUCAUAUCAGCAAAAUUUAGAAGCAACAACCAACAACUCUACAGCAGUUCAAGUUCUAUCUUGGUAUCUCAUGCAGAUUCAAGACCAAGACAGAAGCAAGUCAAUUGCAUACUUGAAGUUAUUAGUUCACAAAAAUUCAGAAAAGCAACCAUCAUCACCACUCCUACGAUUAAUGUUAGAUAAAGGACUCAAUCAUGAAACUUGAAAGCAAAUUACAAAAUUAACUUAGACAUAAUCUAUACAGAUUCAAUUCUGCAAGAACAUACCUGGAGAACCCAAUGGGCACAA